GCCGCGGACCCAAGAUGGCGGCGUGUGGACGUGUACGGAGGAUGUUCCGCUUGUCGGCGGCGCUGCAGCUGCUGCUGCUAGCCGCGGCCGGGGCCGAGAAACUCCCCGGCCAGGGCGUCCAUAGCCAGGGCCAGGGCCCCGGCGCCAACUUUGUGUCCUUCGUAGGGCAGGCCGGAGGCGGCGGCCCGGCGGGUCAGCAGCUGCCCCAGCUGCCUCAGUCAUCGCAGCUCCAGCAGCAGCAGCAGCAGCAGCAGCAGCAGCAGCAACAGCAACAGCAACAGCAGCCUCAGCCGCCACAGCCGCCUUUCCCGGCGGGUGGGCCUCCGGCUCGGCGAGGAGGAGCGGGGGCUGGUGGGGGCUGGAAGCUGGCGGAGGAAGAGUCCUGCAGGGAGGACGUGACCCGCGUGUGCCCCAAGCACACCUGGAGCAACAACCUGGCGGUGCUCGAGUGCCUGCAGGAUGUGAGGGAGCCUGAAAAUGAAAUUUCUUCAGACUGCAAUCAUUUGUUGUGGAAUUAUAAGCUGAACCUAACUACAGAUCCCAAAUUUGAAUCUGUGGCCAGAGAGGUUUGCAAAUCUACUAUAACAGAGAUUAAAGAAUGUGCUGAUGAACCGGUUGGAAAAGGUUACAUGGUUUCCUGCUUGGUGGAUCACCGAGGCAACAUCACUGAGUAUCAGUGUCACCAGUACAUUACCAAGAUGACGGCCAUCAUUUUUAGUGAUUACCGUUUAAUCUGUGGCUUCAUGGAUGACUGCAAAAAUGACAUCAACAUUCUGAAAUGUGGCAGUAUUCGGCUUGGAGAAAAGGAUGCACAUUCACAAGGUGAGGUGGUAUCAUGCUUGGAGAAAGGCCUGGUGAAAGAAGCAGAAGAAAGAGAACCCAAGAUUCAAGUUUCUGAACUCUGCAAGAAAGCCAUUCUCCGGGUGGCUGAGCUGUCAUCAGAUGACUUUCACUUAGACCGGCAUUUAUAUUUUGCUUGCCGAGAUGAUCGGGAGCGUUUUUGUGAAAAUACACAAGCUGGUGAGGGCAGAGUGUAUAAGUGCCUCUUUAACCAUAAAUUUGAAGAAUCCAUGAGUGAAAAGUGUCGAGAAGCACUCACAACCCGCCAAAAGCUGAUUGCCCAGGAUUAUAAAGUCAGUUAUUCAUUGGCCAAAUCCUGUAAAAGUGACUUGAAGAAAUACCGGUGCAAUGUGGAAAACCUUCCGCGAUCGCGUGAAGCCAGACUCUCCUACCUGCUAAUGUGCCUGGAGUCAGCUGUACACAGAGGGCGACAAGUGAGCAGUGAGUGCCAGGGGGAGAUGUUGGAUUACCGACGCAUGUUGAUGGAAGACUUUUCUCUGAGCCCUGAGAUCAUCCUGAGCUGUCGGGGGGAGAUUGAACACCAUUGUUCCGGAUUACAUCGAAAAGGGCGGACUCUACACUGUCUGAUGAAAGUAGUUCGCGGGGAGAAGGGGAACCUUGGAAUGAACUGCCAGCAGGCGCUUCAAACACUGAUUCAGGAGACUGACCCUGGUGCAGAUUACCGCAUUGAUCGAGCUUUGAAUGAAGCUUGUGAAUCUGUAAUCCAGACAGCCUGCAAACACAUAAGAUCCGGAGACCCAAUGAUCUUGUCCUGCCUGAUGGAACAUUUAUACACAGAGAAGAUGGUGGAAGAUUGUGAACACCGUCUCUUAGAGCUGCAGUAUUUCAUCUCCCGGGAUUGGAAGCUGGACCCUGUCCUAUACCGCAAGUGCCAGGGAGAUGCUUCUCGUCUUUGCCACACCCACGGUUGGAAUGAGACCAGUGAAUUUAUGCCUCAGGGAGCUGUGUUCUCUUGUUUAUACAGACACGCCUACCGCACUGAGGAACAGGGAAGGAGGCUCUCACGGGAGUGCCGAGCUGAAGUCCAAAGGAUCCUACACCAGCGUGCCAUGGACGUCAAGCUGGAUCCUGCCCUCCAGGAUAAGUGCCUGAUUGAUCUGGGAAAAUGGUGCAGUGAGAAAACAGAGACUGGACAGGAGCUGGAGUGCCUCCAGGACCAUCUGGAUGACUUGGUGGUGGAGUGUAGAGAUGUAGUUGGCAACCUCACUGAGUUAGAGUCAGAGGAUAUUCAAAUAGAAGCUUUGCUGAUGAGAGCCUGUGAGCCCAUAAUUCAGAACUUUUGCCACGAUGUGGCAGAUAACCAGAUAGACUCUGGGGACCUAAUGGAGUGUCUGAUACAGAACAAACACCAGAAGGACAUGAAUGAGAAGUGUGCCAUCGGAGUCACCCACUUCCAGCUGGUGCAGAUGAAGGAUUUUCGGUUUUCUUACAAGUUUAAAAUGGCCUGCAAGGAGGACGUGUUGAAGCUUUGCCCAAACAUAAAAAAGAAGGUGGACGUGGUGAUCUGCCUGAGCACGACCGUGCGCAACGACACUCUGCAGGAAGCCAAGGAGCACAGGGUGUCCCUGAAGUGCCGCAGGCAGCUCCGCGUGGAGGAGCUGGAGAUGACAGAGGACAUCCGCCUGGAGCCAGACCUGUAUGAAGCCUGCAAGAGUGACAUCAAAAACUACUGUUCCACUGUGCAGUAUGGCAAUGCUCAGAUUAUUGAAUGUCUGAAAGAAAACAAGAAGCAGCUAAGCACCCGCUGCCACCAGAAAGUAUUUAAGCUGCAGGAGACAGAGAUGAUGGACCCAGAGCUAGACUACACCCUCAUGAGGGUCUGCAAGCAGAUGAUAAAGAGGUUCUGUCCAGAAGCAGAUUCUAAAACCAUGUUACAGUGCUUGAAGCAAAAUAAAAACAGUGAACUGAUGGAUCCCAAGUGCAAACAGAUGAUAACGAAGCGUCAGAUCACCCAGAACACAGAUUACCGCUUAAACCCCAUGCUAAGAAAAGCCUGUAAAGCUGACAUUCCUAAAUUCUGUCAUGGUAUCCUGACUAAGGCCAAGGAUGAUUCAGAAUUAGAAGGACAAGUCAUCUCUUGCCUCAAGCUGAGAUAUGCUGACCAGCGCCUGUCUUCAGACUGCGAAGACCAGAUCCGAAUCAUUAUCCAGGAGUCGGCCCUGGACUACCGCCUGGAUCCUCAGCUCCAGCUGCACUGCUCAGACGAGAUCUCCAGUCUAUGUGCUGAAGAAGCAGCAGCCCAAGAGCAGACAGGUCAGGUGGAAGAGUGCCUCAAAGUCAACCUGCUCAAGAUCAAAACAGAACUGUGUAAAAAGGAAGUUUUAAACAUGCUGAAGGAAAGCAAAGCAGACAUCUUUGUUGAUCCGGUGCUUCAUACUGCUUGUGCUCUGGACAUUAAACACCACUGUGCAGCCAUCACCCCUGGCCGCGGGCGUCAAAUGUCCUGUCUCAUGGAAGCACUGGAGGAUAAGCGGGUGAGGUUACAACCCGAGUGUAAAAAGCGCCUCAAUGAUCGGAUUGAAAUGUGGAGUUAUGCAGCAAAGGUGGCCCCAGCAGAUGGCUUCUCUGAUCUUGCCAUGCAAGUAAUGACAUCUCCGUCUAAGAACUACAUUCUCUCUGUGAUCAGUGGGAGCAUCUGUAUAUUGUUCCUGAUUGGUCUGAUGUGUGGACGGAUCACCAAGCGAGUGACACGAGAGCUCAAGGACAGGCUACAAUACAGGUCAGAGACAAUGGCUUAUAAAGGUUUAGUGUGGUCUCAGGAUGUGACAGGCAGUCCAGCCUGACCUUUCUGCACACUCCAGACAAACUUCCCAGACAAGCUCCUUUGUGCCUCCACGUUGAGAGGAUGUGGAAAGUUAUCACAUUAAAAGAUGGAGGAUUUGCUCUGUUUUUUUUCUUUUUGUCCAUUUGCUGCGUGUACCCACUCUGGUAGGCAUUGGCUAAAUGUUGUAUUUUGGUGACUCAUCAACCUUUGCAGAAUAUGGGCUUUAUAGAAGCAAUAUUCUUGGCCAUCCCGCCUCAUUCCUCCAGUGUGGAGAUGCCAAGUCUGGGGUGUGAAAGGGAGGGGUCUGGACAUCAUGGUUCAGCCUGGCUCUCCUUUAGUUUAGUUUGGGGCAUGAGAUCACAGUGGCUGCACAAGAGAGCAGUGUGUACAGUAGGAGAUAUAUUUAUAUAAUAUAUAUUUUAUUAACCUGUUAGAUGUCCACAAAGUAUUAUAAAUCACGUGCCUAAAACUGUCCACGUAGACCAAGGCCUGCCGUCGGCGCCCCCCACUCCUGCCUCUGCUCUGCACGGGCCACGCACGCUGCAGGACCAGAGAGCGACACUCGUCUUCCCUGAAGGGUGUUCAGUACAAGGCGUGUCAGUUUGUGGAUCAGUUGAUCCAAGUUACUCCUUGUCUAAUCUGACUGACAUAUAUUUGAAUACUGUGGUUUUCUUUCUUUUUUUCUAUUUUGCUGCCCUUCCUGGAGGCAGUGGGUUCCAGAAGCCAACUGAUUGUCCCCCUGCCAAGUCACCAAGGGAAGCUGCUAAGCUGCUUAGUCCCUUCGGUCCUGCUCGUAGGGUCUUCCUGAUUGUCCACAGCUGUCUGGGAUGCUUCAGUCUCCUAAAACUGGAAACUCAGGGUGCGAGCAGCACACACUGCCUCCCGCCACUGCCAGCCAGACUGAGUGGCCCGAGAGUCUCUGCAGGUCCCCUGAGGACUGGGGACCACUGAGGCUUAAUAUCAAGAACCAGGAAUGUCAUGUACAUGCAGGUGCCUACGGACGUGUCUGGUGUGGUUUGCAGGUAGGAUGGAUGUUCAGUAUUUGACUGGGUGGGGUAUCCUUCCUCUCUGCAGUUGCCUUCCCAGUAUGCAGAAACACCCUUAAAGUUCUAAUUGUCUUGGUAUUUCUGUUCUUUCUGAAUUGAGAGAAAAUCCCAUUUGUUGUCUGCAGAUUUGGAAGUUUGAUGAGGAAUUUUGUUCUUGAAACAUCUGUCAUCUUUUUUUUUUUUUGAGAUGGAGUAUUGCUCUGUUGCCCAGGCUGCAGUGCAGUGGUGCGAUCUCAGGUCACUGCAGUCUCCAACUCCUGGGUUCAAGCAAUUCUCUGCCUCAGCCUCCUGAGUAGCUGGUUUUCCAGGCACCCGCCACCAUGCCUGGCUAAUUUUUGUAUUUUUAGUAGAGACAGGGUUUCACCAUCUUGGCCAGGCUGGUCUUGAACUCCUGACCUCAGGUGAUCUGCCUGCCUCGGCCUCCCAAAGUGCUGGGAUUGCAGGUGUGAGCCACCAUGCCCAGCCGAAACAUUUGUCAUCAGUAUAAAUGGUCAAAAUAGAAAAGAUAGCUCUGCCAGUAUCUUCAGUUGCUUAUUACAAGAAUUUCUUUCAUCAUCCUACUUGGAGCAUUUUCCUAUGACUGGCUCUUGAGAGCCCCAGGCAGGACCCUGAGCAAGUUUUUCUAAGUUCUACGGCCAGCAAAGUCGGCACUGGCCGUACUCAUUAAGUCCCUCAUUUGACAAAACAAAACAGGGCCUGGGGCACCCCUGGUUCCAGGCCUUAUAGGUCCAUCAGCUGGCUGAGAAAUGGUCAAGAAGAGUAACAGUGACCCUUCUGUGGAUGCGAGCGGAUGAUGGACUCUGGCCUGUGUCUAUUCUGAUGUGUAGCCCACCAACAGUAAUAGAAGUAGAGAGUAGGGGGUUUUGCCAAGGCUAAGGCUUCAGGUACUUGCUAACAGUUACAGCAACUGGGUCACUGUCAUCUGGACUUACCAGUUCAUGCCAGUGUCUCUGUGACUCUUACGCAUAGUGUGCCCCACAGCCCUCUAGAGGCACCUGGAGCCCAGGCUGCCAGGCUGGAGGCUCUGGGGUACUGAAGGUGAGCUGUCUGGGCAAACUAUUAAGAACAAGACAAACUAUUCCCAGUGGAGCUUCUCCCACAGACGGGAGCUCUGUGAGGCCUUCACCUGGGUACAUGCUGGACUUCUGCUGCUGUUGCUGCUGUCCCUAGACAAGCCUGUUAGCAAGAAGUGCCGGCAGGGGAGCCAUGCACUCCAUAGGCUUGGGAUCACCCCCAGGAAAGCGAUCUUCCCCGGGCUACCACCCCCAGCCCCAGUUCUGAGCCAGUGCAUCCUUGGAAGCUAGGUGAAUUCUAGGAUGGCCGGUGAGCUAGUAUUGAGUGAGCAGGUAUUGACUUGAACACACUGCAGGCCUUUGGCUGUCUCAUGCUGUCCUUACUCUUCUUGGGAACAGUGAGUCAGCUGGCUGGGGUGGGGAUGCAUCCUGGUGAAGAGACAGCUUUCACUGAAGAUGCUGCAGAAAGUUACUGUCAAAUUUCAUUUGUUUCUGUUACUUGAGAUCAACUAACAGAAGAAUCCAGUGGUGAGGGUGUCUACAUUCAUGUUUUAUGUUUUAUCAAGGCAGAUUGGAAAGGGAAUUAUGUGGCUGACUUCCCUUGGCCUUUCCAAGAGAAGAUUCUCUUCUUAUGUCAGUGUGGCUUCUGGAAGUGUCUCCUAUCCUCCCAACCUCCAGGCCUGUGGUGCGACUUCUGCCCCGAAGUUCCUACUACAACUUCAGAUGAUAGACAAGUCAUUAGCAAACCAGACUGAAUCUUCAGGGUGAAGAACUCCCCAAAGUCAUCUGGUGAGAUCAUUGUGAGGACCCAGGGACUAUUUGUCACCUGGAUCACAAAGAUGGGACUGUCUGCUCAGGCUGAUGGUGACAGGAUCCUGACCGGUGGUCCUCUCCCAUUCCUUCUGCUGUACCAUGACACAUGUAUAGGACGCUGUGCUGUGUGCAGUGGAGAAAUCUCCCUGAGCCAGGAGAAAGUUCAGACAGUGCCUCUAGAUUGUGUUUUGCCUUCCCCAUUGUAGAGUUGACAUCUGGACCCCAGAGCCCAGCAGGGCUUUCUGUUAGACAUGCUAGGGUGGUGGAAACAGGCCCUCCAGGUCCCCCUGCAGUGUGCUGGCUGGAGGCCCCCGGAAAGCCAGCAGCAGGAGAGCUUCCUGGGCGGCUUCCCCCAGGACAGUGUUCCCAAGCCAGUCCAGCUGGAAAACAGACUGUACAGCAAAUGCUGUGUAAGAUCUUAGGCCUUUCACCUUUUUUGUUUUGUUUUGUUUUUGAAAGAAAGAAAGAAAAAAAGUACAAUUAACAAGCCUCUUUUGUAAAUGGGUUUCCUUUCUGUGUAUAAAAUCCUGGUGGUCCCUUGUUUUUACAUGUUCAUGCUGUGUAAUUUUGAGAUGUUACUGAGAUAUGUUCUGAACAUAAUGUGCAUUUUUUUCUGUACAGAUGAAAUGGGAGAAUUUAAUAAAGAGUUUGCAGGUUUUUACUUGUUAAA